AGUGAACGCUGGCGGUAGGCCUAACACAUGCAAGUCGAACGGCAGCACAGUAAGAGCUUGCUCUUACGGGUGGCGAGUGGCGGACGGGUGAGGAAUACAUCGGAAUCUACUUUUUCGUGGGGGAUAACGUAGGGAAACUUACGCUAAUACCGCAUACGACCUACGGGUGAAAGCAGGGGAUCUUCGGACCUUGCGCGAUUGAAUGAGCCGAUGUCGGAUUAGCUAGUUGGCGGGGUAAAGGCCCACCAAGGCGACGAUCCGUAGCUGGUCUGAGAGGAUGAUAGGCCACACUGGAACUGGGACACGGUCCAGACUACUACGGGAGGCAGCAGUGGGGAAUAUUGGACAGUGGGCGCAAGCCUGAUCCAGCCAUACCGCGUGGGUGAAGAAGGCCUUCGGGUUGUAAAGCCCUUUUGUUGGGAAAGAAAAGCAGCAGGUUAAUACGCCGCUGUUCUGACGGUACCCAAAGAAUAAGCACCGGCUAACUUCGUG
rnacentral:rRNA from 1 species